rnacentral:lncRNA from 1 species
AACUCCUCGAUGUUUGCGACCACCGCUAGGUGGCAGUGGUGUCGAGCGCUAAGGACGCGGGGGAGCGGGUGCUAUUCAAAACAAUGGUCGGCGUCGCGUCGUAGGGUCGUUUGCCUUGUUUUUUGAAAAGUUAAGCCCCUUUGGAGCAGAUUGGAAGGUUUCAGAAGAUGCAGGAAGACGGCAAGAUCAAAGAGAUGGGUUCAGUUUUCACGGUGUGCUGACUUGAAUUGGCAUCCUGUGAUUUGUGAUGUGAAUUAUGAUGCACGCACUCGCAGGUGCACGCCCGCUGCGGACACGUGUGACGUGACGGCAGCAGGCGGACGGGGUGUGAACUGUGAACUGGCUCGACCGAAAAUUGUUUAAGUUAUCACAGCGCAUGUGUAACUGACUAACAUACCUAUGGGCAUACCCAUUGAGCGGAUAAUGCGUUCGUGUGCAUUAUCGUGCUUGCAUUUAUUCCCGAUAUACUCUGGUGGGAGAUGUGAAUUGGAAACCAACUUGGUGCUACGACACCGUUUAGUAGGCAUGUGGCACGUCGUUUCUCGAAGACUUCCUAUCAGUCUAUUAUUGUAAACAUUGUGUGUCAUCUUUCCUCUUAGUUGUCAUUUGAACCUGUGUUAAAUUCUGAACCUCAGACCGGAACAGACUAGGAAAUCGCACGCGAAAUUCAUUAAGUUGCAAUAGCAUCAAUCACACGCAAGUAGGUGCGUGCUAUGGAUGCGAGUGCGACCGGGGUUUAUUUGAAUAGGCUCUCGGUCUCGCACAUGAUUUCUGACUGCGGAAAGAGUCGGUUUCAGCCUCUACUCAGUAUGCAUUUCGCUCAUGCGACGGCAAAUAUAAGUUCAAUACGGAAA